GCCAAGGAGGACAAGGUUUCUUCCGAGGACUUCCCGGUCACGGAGAUGAGCAGCAGCAACGAACAGGAAACAUCACCUGCCUCGAAUGAAGCCAGCACGAA